rnacentral:rRNA from 1 species
AUUGAACGCUGGCGGCAGGCCUAACACAUGCAAGUCGAACGGUAACAGGAAACAGCUUGCUGUUUCGCUGACGAGUGGCGGACGGGUGAGUAAUGUCUGGGAAACUGCCUGAUGGUGGGGGAUAACUACUGGAAACGGUAGCUAAUACUGCAUAACGUCGCAAGACCAAAGAGGGGGACCUUCGGGCCUCUUGCCAUCGGAUGUGCCCAGGUGGGAUUAGCUAGUAGGUGGGGUAACGGCUCACCUAGGCGACGAUCCCUAGCUGGUCUGAGAGGAUGAACAGCCACACUGGAACUGAGACACGGUCCAGACGCCUACGGGAGGCAGCAGUGGGGAAGAUUGCACAAUGGGCGCAAGCCUGAUGCAGCCAUGCCGCGUGUAUGAAGAAGGCCUUCGGGUUGUAAAGUACUUUCAGCGGGGAGGAAGGGAGUAAAGUUAAUACCUUUGCUCAUUGACGUUACCCGCAGAAGAAGCACCGGCUAACUCCGUGCCAGCCGCCGCCGUAA